AAUUAUCAACUACUUUAGUAUUUUCUAACUAAAGUGAGGUUGGAUUUGGAGGGAAAUAUGCUGGCGCAAAGUUUUGCUUGUCAGCUCCUCUUAAAUAAAUAUACUUUCUUGUAAAGUAAUACUAAUGUGAUAAUUAUCUACAUUAGAUUAAGAUUUUAUAAGAAAGAAUUAUUGUGGGAGAAUAAAUAAUAU
rnacentral:misc_RNA from 1 species